rnacentral:rRNA from 1 species
UACGUAGGGCGCAAGCGUUGUCCGGAAUUAUUGGGCGUAAUGAGCUCGUAGGCGGCCUGUCGCGUCUGCUGUGAAAUCCCGGGGCUUAACCCCGGGCGUGCAGUGGAUACGGGCUGGCUGGAGGCAGGCAGGGGAGAACGGAAUUCCCGGUGUAGCGGUGAAAUGCGCAGAUAUCGGGAGGAACACCGGUGGCGAAGGCGGGUCUCUGGGCCGAUACUGACGCUGAGGAGCGAAAGCGUGGGGAGCGAACAGG